rnacentral:rRNA from 1 species
ACUCCUACGGGAGGCAGCAGUGAGGAAUCUUCCACAAUGGACGAAAGUCUGAUGGAGCGACACCGCGUGAAGGAUGAAGGCCUAACGGUUGUAAACUUCUUUUCUGAAGGAGCAUAAUGAGAGUACUUCAGGAAUAAGGGACGGCUAAAUACGUGCCAGCAGCCGCGGUAAUACGUAUGUCUCGAGCGUUACCGGAAUCACUGGGUGUAAAGGGGUUCGUAGGCGGUUUAAUAAGUUGGAUAUGAAAGACCGGAGCUCAACUUCGUGUUUGUGUUCAAAACUGUUAAACUAGAAUCAGGGAGAGGUAAGUAGAAUUCUAAGUGUAGGGGUGCAAUCCGUAGAUACUUAGAGGAAUACCAAAAGCGAAGGCAACUUACUGGAACUGUAUUGACGCUGAGGAACGAAAGCGUGGGUAGCGAAAAGGAUUAGAUACCCUGGUAGCACAGAG